AGAGCUCCGACCGGAGACGGAAGGAGUGCUUUUAUUAGAUCAAAACCAAUCGGUGGCGGAUUCGGCUGUCAUCGUACAACUUGGUGACUUUGAAUAACCUUACGCUGAUCGCACGGUCAUCGCACCGGCGACGCAUCUUUCAAAUGUCUGCCUUAUCAACUGUCGAUGGUAGGUUCUGCGCCUACCAUGGUUGUAACGGGUAACGGGGAAUCAGGGUUCGAUUCCGGAGAGGGAGCCUGAGAAACGGCUACCACAUCCAAGGAAGGCAGCAGGCGCGCAAAUUACCCACUCCCGGCACGGGGAGGUAGUGACGAAAAAUAACGAUACGGGACUCAUCCGAGGCCCCGUAAUCGGAAUGAGUACACUCUAAACCCUUUAACGAGGAUCAAUUGGAGGGCAAGUCUGGUGCCAGCAGCCGCGGUAAUUCCAGCUCCAAUAGCGUAUAUUAAAGUUGUUGCGGUUAAAAAGCUCGUAGUCGAAUUUGUGUCUCGCGCCGCCGGUUCAUCGUYCGCGGUGUUAACU
rnacentral:rRNA from 1 species